GAGGAAUAUUGGUCAAUGGGUGCAAGCCUGAACCAGCCAUCCCGCGUGAAGGACGACUGCCCUAUGGGUUGUAAACUUCUUUUGUAUAGGGAUAAACCUACCCUCGUGAGGGUAGCUGAAGGUACUAUACGAAUAAGCACCGGCUAACUCCGUGCCAGCAGCCGCGGUAAUACGGAGGGUGCAAGCGUUAUCCGGAUUUAUUGGGUUUAAAGGGUCCGUAGGCGGACUUAUAAGUCAGUGGUGAAAGCCUGUCGCUUAACGAUAGAACUGCCAUUGGUACUGUAAGGCUUGAGUAUAUUUGAGGUAGCUGGAAUAAGUAGUGUAGCGGUGAAAUGCAUAGAUAUUACUUAGAACAACAAUUGCGAAGGCAGGUUACCAAGAUAUAACUGACGCUGAGGGACGAAAGCGUGGGGAGCGAACA
rnacentral:rRNA from 1 species